AAGUCGUAACAAGGUUUCCGUAGGUGAACCUGCGGAAGGAUCAUUAUUGAAAUAAAGGGUUGUCUGCUGGCCUCUCGGGGCACGUGCACGCCCAAAUCCACAACACACCUGUGAACCCACCGUAGGCCCUCGGGCUUAUGUAUAUCAUAUACUCUGAUCAUAGAAUGUAAAUAUUUUGCCUUAAAAACGCAAUGAAAUACAACUUUCAACAACGGAUCUCUUGGCUCUCGCAUCGAUGAAGAACGCAGCGAAAUGCGAUAAGUAAUGUGAAUUGCAGAUUUUCAGUGAAUCAUCGAAUCUUUGAACGCACCUUGCGCUCCUUGGUAUUCCGAGGAGCAUGCCUGUUUGAGUGUCAUUAAAUUCUCAACCCCAGCGGUUCGUUGGGGCUUGGACUUGGAGCGUGCUGGCGAAGGUCGGCUCCUCUUUAAAUGCAUCAGCGGAAAAACAAACUUUCCCUUCAGCGUGAUAAUCCUGUUGCGCUGUGGUGGGUCAAGGUCCGCUCACAAUCGUCCUCGGACAAAAAGACACAUCUGUUUUGACCUCAGAUCAGGUAGGACUACCCGCUGAACUUAA
rnacentral:sRNA from 1 species